AGCGCAGCUGCCGUUGGAAGUUUGUCUAUCGAAAAUAAUGGAAAGUUGUGUGUGUGUAUCAAUUAAAGCCAUAGGUGUGGGCUCCACGCAGACCCCAGCCCGUGCCCUCGUAAACGAUGCCAUCAUUGCCAAUUAGGAAGCUGCCCCGAAAGUCACAAAUAGACUCCGUUUGAUGAUAGUUCUGCAUAUUCUGCAAGAUCUCGGCACACUGGAGGAGCCCACUGCACUCGCCCGUGACCGUGUGAUGGAUGACCACAUAGCGAAUGGGACGGAUCUGGUAGUGGAGGCCCUGUGAUGGCUUACCGCCCCACUGACGCUU